UACGUAGGGGGCAAGCGUUGUCCGGAUUUAUUGGGCGUAAAGAGCGUGUAGGCGGCUUUGCAAGUCCGUUGUGAAAACUCGAGGCUCAACCUCGAGACGCCGGUGGAAACUGCAAAGCUAGAGUCCGGAAGAGGAGAGUGGAAUUUCUGGUGUAGCGGUGAAAUGCGCAGAUAUCAGGAGGAACACCAAUUGCGAAGGCAGCUCGCUGGGACGUUACUGACGCUGAGACGCGAAAGCGUGGGGAGCAAACAGG
rnacentral:rRNA from 1 species